rnacentral:rRNA from 1 species
UACGUAGGGGACAAGCGUUGUCCGGAUUUACUGGGCGUAAAGGGCGCGCAGGCGGUCGUUCAAGUCGAGUGUGAAAGCCCCCGGCUCAACUGGGGAGGGUCACUCGAUACUGAUCGACUCGAAGGCAGGAGAGGGUAGUGGAAUUCCCGGUGUAGUGGUGAAAUGCGUAGAUAUCGGGAGGAACACCAGUGGCGAAGGCGACUACCUGGCCUGUUCUUGACGCUGAGGCGCGAAAGCUAGGGGAGCAAACGGG